CCCUACGGGGUGCAGCAGGCGCGAACACUUUACAAUGCGGGAAACCGCGAUAAGGGAACCCCGAGUGCCAGCAUCAAAUGUUGGCUGUCCGGAUGAUUAAAAAUCAUUUGUUAGCAAGGGCCGGGCAAGACCGGUGCCAGCCGCCGCGGUAACACCGGCGGCCCGAGUGGUAGCCGUUUUUAUUGGGUCUAAAGGGUCCGUAGCCGGCCUGAUAAGUCCUUUGGGAAAUCUGGCAGUUUAACUGUCAGGCUUCUAAGGGAUACUGUCAGGCUUGGGACCGGAAGAGGUAAGGGGUACUCCAGGGGUAGGAGUGAAAUCUUGUAAUCCCUGGGGGACCAUUUGUGGCGAAGGCGCCUUACCAGAACGGGUCCGACGGUGAGGGACGAAAGCUAGGGGAGCAAACCGGAUUAGAUACCCGGGUAGUCCUAGCUGUAAACGAUGCUCGCUAGGUGUCAGACACGGUGCGACCGUGUUUGGUGCCGCAGGGAAGCCGUUAAGCGAGCCACCUGGGAAGUACGGUCGCAAGGCUGCAACUUAAAGGAAUUGGCGGGGGAGCAC
rnacentral:rRNA from 1 species